CCUCAAGGCUGUGUUAUGUCUUGAACUGUGUCCUCCAAAAAGAUAUAUUUAAGUCCUAACUCCUGAGGCCCGUGAAUACGACCUUCCUUGGAAAAGGGAUCCAUGCAGAUGUAAUCAAUUAAGAUACAGUCAUUAGGGUAGAUCCUAAUCCAAUAGGACUGUUGUCCUUAGAAUCAGAAAAGGUCCUGUGAAGACAAAGAUAGACAGAGAGACGGCCAUGGUACAGUGGAGACAGAUACUAAACUGAUGCAGCUGCAAGCCAACGGAUGUCAAGGACUGCUUGAGGACACCAGAAACUAAAGGAAAGGCAUGCAACAUGUUCUCUCCGAAGAGCCUUCAAGAAAAUAUUUCUCUCCCUAUACCUUGAUUUCAGAUUUGUGGCCUCAAGAACUGUGAGAGAAUAAAUUUCUAUUGUUUUAAGCUACCCUUCAGGAAACUAAUACAGGUAGAAAAGAGGACAUCAUCAUUAAAUAGCUGCAAGAAAUAGAACAUUUUUAAAAGAAAAGUAGAAGAGGAGAAAAAGAAAUAUGAGCAGAAGGAGUGCUAGAAGCAAGAGGAAAAGAAGAGGACAAAAAGACCUCAGACAGAGAUCACGAGUUGGCAGAGAGGCAGACAGAGCAAGAGGGAGAAGCAAGCUCUCUGCUGAGCAGAGAGCCCAAUGUGGGGCUCAAUUCCAGGACCCUCAGAUCAUGACCUGAGCCAAAGACAGAGGCUUUAACCCACUGAGCCACCCAGGAGCCCCCAUCCCAUCUCCUGUUUUUUAAAUGAAUUUCUACUGGAACUCAGUUACAGCCAUACUCAUUCUUUUUGUAUGCCUAUGAUUGCUUUCAUGCUACAAUGACAAAAAGUUGAGAAGCUGUAUCAGAAACUGCAUGGUC
rnacentral:lncRNA from 1 species